rnacentral:rRNA from 1 species
UACGGAGGGUGCAAGCGUUAUCCGGAUUCACUGGGUUUAAAGGGUGCGUAGGUGGGUUGGUAAGUCCGUGGUGAAAUCUCCGAGCUUAACUCGGAAACUGCCGUGGAUACUAUCAAUCUUGAAUACUGUGGAGGUGAGCGGAAUAUGUCAUGUAGCGGUGAAAUGCUUAGAUAUGACAUAGAACACCAAUUGCGAAGGCAGCUCACUACACGAAUAUUGACACUGAGGCACGAAAGCGUGGGGAUCAAACAGG